GUGGGGAAUAUUGCACAAUGGGCGAAAGCCUGAUGCAGCGACGCCGCGUGGGGGAUGAAGGCCUUCGGGUUGUAAACCCCUUUCAGCAGGGAAGAAGCGAAAGUGACGGUACCUGCAGAAGAAGCGCCGGCUAACUACGUGCCAGCAGCCGCGGUAAUACGUAGGGCGCAAGCGUUGUCCGGAAUUAUUGGGCGUAAAGAGCUCGUAGGUGGUUUGUCGCGUCUGCUGUGAAAACCCGAGGCUCAACCUCGGGCCUGCAGUGGGUACGGGCAGACUAGAGUGCGGUAGGGGAGACUGGAAUUCCUGGUGUAGCGGUGGAAUGCGCAGAUAUCAGGAGGAACACCGAUGGCGAAGGCAGGUCUCUGGGCCGCAACUGACACUGAGGAGCGAAAGCAUGGGGAGCGAACAGG
rnacentral:rRNA from 1 species